UCAGGAUGAACGCUGGCGGCGUGCCUAAUACAUGCAAGUCGUACGAGGGAAGUCCAGCUGCUGGACGGAACGAGUGGCGAACGGGUGAGUAAUACGUAAGCAACCUGCCUGCAAGGACUGGGAUAACACCUGGAAACGGGCGCUAAUACCGGAUAGGUAACAAAGGGGCAUCCCUAUGUUAUUAAAGGUUAGAAACACAAGCAGAGGGGCUUACGGUGCAUUAGCUAGUUGGUGAGGUAACGGCCCACCAAGGCGAUGAUGCAUAGCCGGCCUGAGAGGGUGAACGGCCACAUUGGGACUGAGACACGGCCCAGACUCCUACGGGAGGCAGCAGUAGGGAAUUUUCGGCAAUGGACGAAAGUCUGACCGAGCAACGCCGCCGUGAGUGAAGAAGGUUUUCGGAUUGUAAAGCUCUGUUGUAAGGGAAGAACAGCACGGAAAGAAUCCGUGAAUGACGGUACCUUACCAGAAAGCCACGGCUAACUACGUGCCAGCCGCGGC
rnacentral:rRNA from 1 species